AAAUAAGACUCAAACAAUAGUAGAAAUUCUCCAUCAUCAACGGUUGAUUCUACACAUUGCGUCCACGCAACCAAAUCCAAAUGUGGGGAGGAAAAAUUGAAAUAUAUAAUGGUGAUUAUCAAGAACUAACCUUGACACUUACCAUACCAAUCUUCUUCAUCAAUUAUCAAAUAGAAUAACCAAUAAAAUCGACCUUCACCCUACAAUACCAAGCUACAACUACAAUGCCUUCCACAAUUAAAAUGCAAUUGUGAGAUCAUAAAAUAGCCAAUCAUGCAUAGCAAUUCUCAUUCCAUACAAAUUACGAAACUAGAUUAUAUACUUCCCAUGUCCCUUGUCAACCAACCAAAAAUUCCUAAAAAAAAAAAGAUUAAAA
rnacentral:misc_RNA from 1 species